ACCCGGACCCAUCCCGAACCCGGAAGUUAAGCCUUUCAGCGCUGAUGGUACUGCACACGCCAGUGUGUGGGAGAGUAAGACACCGCCGAAC
rnacentral:rRNA from 1 species